CGGACGGUAUCUGCGUCAAUAUU
rnacentral:miRNA from 2 species